rnacentral:misc_RNA from 1 species
GUCCCACAUAGCAACGUUGAAUAUGGCGGACAUGUAAAGACGCUGUUAGAAAGAAAAUAUACUUUUUCAUUGGGUAUACAUUUGUAAAAACUUAAAUAUAGCAAAAUGGCUUCUGCUAGUACAAGAGAGGCUAGGGAAAAGUACGAAUUAAAACAAAAAGCAGUCAAAUACUACGAUCAAAAUGGAGUACCCAAAAAGAUGGAAGAAAUAUUGAAUUCGAUGUUUUAUGACAAUCCAGACGACGUUUACGGACACUUGGCAAACUACUUCGCAGAACAUGCCAAGACAGCCCUAAUUUCACAGAUUUCAGCAAGGCAUGGAUUUGAUAGCAAAGGACAGACUACAGUUCAAACUGAUAUGUACUGCACUGUUAGAAAUAAUAAAAAGCUUUCAGCAGCAGUAGUGAGUUCAUCAUCAAAUAGCUCAUUGCCCGAGAACACCAAGCCCGAGGAUAGGGAGGAAGAGGACAAAGCUCGAGAGGCUGGUGUAGAGGCAGCCAUUGCUCUCCUCAAUGGAGACAUCAACACUAGAUUACAAGGAGUAGAUCCAGCCCUUCAGUCAGAUGUGGACAAAAUACUAAUGAAACUGUAUGAAGAGUUGAAAGCCGAGGAAGAUGAAAGGCUAGCUAAAGAAGCAGCAGAGCAGGCUGCAUUAGGAGGAGAUGGGGCAACUCCAGUGAAAGAAGAGGAUGCCAGCGUGAGUGGCAAAAAAGGAGGAAAAUCCUCAGCCAAGAAAGGAAAGAGUGUUGCAGUUGUAGUGGUUCCUGAUGAACCAAAAGAAAAACUCCUCCCAGGGGCGGAGUCUAUUUGUGUGGCUAGUCGGGCGGCUUGUACUGCAGCGUCAGCUGUAAGGGAGGAACCUCUCUACCAACAUAUAGCCACCCUCAGGUUUGGGGAGAUUCCUAAAGAUAUGAGAGUGCCCAUUCCUAUGGUGACAAUUAUCCAAAGUGGACGAUCAGCUCCUGGAAAAUUAAACUGUGUCAAAGAAUUUAUGGUGGUUCCCAAACCUGGCAUGCCUAUUGCUGAUAGUCUGAAAUACUGCCAGAAAAUCUACAGCUAUGUGGCCAAAACCUUAGUAACCAAAAGUGGGAUGGCAGCACAGUAUGGAAAUGACAUUGGAGCUCUCUGCCCCUCCUACGACAAGCCUGAGCAAGGACUAGACAUCCUACAGGAUGCCAUCACCAGCCUAGAACUCACCCCUGGGGAAGAUUUUUUCAUCGCCCUCAAUCUGGCAGGAAAGGAAAUAUUUGACUAUGUAGGUAGUCAGUUUUAUGAAAAUUCAUGAACUUCUUUCCCAAUAUUGUACAAGGGCUCAAAUUUAUUGAUUUUCUUGCAUGUUUUUUGCGAAGAGAUAUAUUUCAAAUCUCUGGAAAAGAAAUAAAUUUAUACCAGGUACAUUUUAGUUAACGCAGAAUAUAUUAAUGACGGACAGUUACAUACCGUAAUAAUAAUAAUGUGAACUUGUUAUGGUAUUAAAUAUGACUCUGCUGUUUGACCAAAAGGAUAAGAAAUCCAAUCAAAAAUCUGUAAGUAUCCCAGAGUGUUAACUUUAUUGAAAGGUUGGAGAGUUUAUUGAUAUGGCAUAGUUAGAUUUCAAAGGAUUCAAAAAGGAUAAGGCACUAUGGUUUUGCGCACUGCGUUCAUUCACAUUGCAGCGCACAUUUCAUUGACGAUAAUACCAUCACAUCGAAAAGUUUAAUUCAUUUUUUUGUGUGUGUGUCUUGUGUUCAAAUGUCUGCCAAUUAUUUUUGAGUCUGCAUAGACCUGCAAUUUUGCUCAUGGCAAGCGUUUAGCUAUAGGCUCAUUGUUUGACAUGUGAUGUGAUGCAAUACUUCUCCAAUAGGAUCCCUCUAGUGUACCUGCCAAAUCCGAUUUCCCUGGUCAGGGUAUGCACAAGGUAUCAGAGGAAUUAAGCUGCACUUAUAACCAUGUGAACUAAUAUGUCUUUGGAAUGCUGUGGUAUUAUAUGUGUCUGUAACUGCAUGGAUCCAUUAGUUAUUUUGUACUUAUAGUCACUGUCAGUGUGUUUUUAUUUUGUUUGUAUAUUUUGUUUUAGAUGAAAUGUUGAAUGUAUGUGUAGCUUUGAUUUUUCUUAUGUUAAUGUAGAGUGAUAGUUAAAAAUCUAUUCAUGCACCAUUGUCAGACCUAAAAUGUAUUAUUUUUUUAGAUGUAGAUUGACAUUUUCAGACAUGCACAUCAACUCCCUUCUUGACUUAGAUUAUAAAGACUUUUCACCACAUCAAAUAUAUUUUGUCAAUGAACAUCACACAAGAUGAUGGGGAUAAUGAGCAUUCUCUCAGUCCUGAACGCAUUGUGUCAAGAUUGCAUAUAGCUGCCACAUUGACUAAUUUGAUUGCAGUUUGAAAAAGGGGAAUAACUAAAAGAAAAUAAGAUUGAGUAAAUCCCUAUUUUCAAUUCUUGCAAUCAAAAAAAAAAGCUGGCCUACCACACUUUAUUCUUUACAUUUUUUGGCCUGAGAAGCUUUUUUUCAAUUUUCAAAUAAAAAAGAUACACAGACUGAAUCUACUUUCUCAAAUAAUUAUGUAUUUUACCUGUAUAAGAAAAACUUGAGUAUACGAGAAGUAAUUAUGUUGAGGCAUUUCAGUGUGCAUGCAAAUAUAUAAGUGUUCUUUUAGUUGUUUUAUGAUCCUAACUCUUUGUACGGUAUAUAGAUGACAUUGUCUAAUAACAACUUUGAUUUGUAGAUUGUAACUAAUGACUGUUAACUCUAACUAGAACUCACCAACCACUAUUCCACAUUACACAAACUACCUGUUUGAAGAAUCCUUAAACAAAAUGGAAUUAAACCUUUAAAUGUAAAUUAAUUUUAAUCAUUUAAUCAGUCAAUGAUCUAAAUACUUAGUACAUGUAGUUUCAAAAUCCAACUCUAGUACUAAAAAAAAAAUAUUCCCCAUGUUCUGUUCUGGGCAUGCACAAACGUAUAAUUACAUGCUUUUUGUGUUUAUUGGUUUUGUAUGUAUUGUAGGAGAAAGGUAAAUAUGAGGUCAUGGGAGGUCAACAGAAAGUUCCAGAGGAUCUGGUGGAAUUCUGGGUAGAGUUACUUGGUCGCUACCCAUCAGUCAUUGCCAUCAUUGACCCAAUGAGGAAACAGGAGAAGGAGCACUGGAUGAGACUGUGUGACAGAGUUAGUGACAAGUGCUAUGUGAUGGGGAACCACACCUAUCCCCGGCCCGGUCUACUGCUGGAGGAGGAACUCACCGAGGAGUUCAAGACCAGCGGCACUGUCCUCAAACUGGACCAGAUAAAUACCAUUACUGACAUCCUUGAGUCUGCCAAAAAGAUGGAAGAUGCAGAGAAUCAGAUUGUGUUGACAACAUGUUAUGGAGAAACAACAGAUACAUUCCUGGCAGAUAUGGCUGUUGGGAUGAAUGCAAGGUUCUUAAAAAUUGGAGCCCCAGUGAGAGGAGAGAGAAUAGCCUUGUUCAAUAGACUUAUACAAAUAGAAAACCAACUGAAAUUAGAAGGGAGACUAGCCUUCCAUGGGGAAAAUGUGUUCCCCCAUAUUGUACCCCCACCCCUCCCUGAGCCAGAAGAGGGGGAGGAAGCACAGGAAGAAGAAAAGAAAGAGGAAAAAGGCAAAAAGAAAUAAGCAGCCAAUUAUCACUUGUGUAGAAAAAAAAGUGAUUUAUGGUAUUGUCCAAAAACUAAAACAAGAUUUGGGGAUGCAAAGAGACCCGUCAUAGCCUGAUGAACAAAUGUUUCUGUGAUAUUCAUUAUUUUAUGACAUUGUAAUAACUGUACUUUGUUGUUUAUUAAAUUAUGAACAUAUUG